GAUGAAGAACGCAGCGAAAUGCGAUAAGUAAUGUGAAUUGCAGAAUUCAGUGAAUCAUCGAAUCUUUGAACGCACCUUGCGCUCCUUGGUAUUCCGAGGAGCAUGCCUGUUUGAGUGUCAUGAAAUUCUCAACCUUUUCAGCUUUCUUUGUUGAUCAGGCUUGGAUGUGGGAGUAUGCGGGCUUCUCAGAAGUCGGCUCUCCUGAAAUGCAUUAGCGGGACCUUUGUUGCCUGGCUUUGGUGUGAUAAUUAUCUACGCCAUUGUAGUCAAGCAGCUUAAAAUGAGGUUUCAGCUUCUAACCGUCUCCCCUGAGACAACUUUUUGACAAUUUGACCUCAAAUCAGAUAGGACUACCCGCUGAACUUAAGCAUAUCAAUAAGCGGAGGA
rnacentral:misc_RNA from 1 species